AUUGAACGCUGGCGGCAUGCUUUACACAUGCAAGUCGAACGGUAACAGGGUGCUUGCACCGCUGACGAGUGGCGAACGGGUGAGUAAUGCAUCGGAAUGUACCGUGUAAUGGGGGAUAGCUCGGCGAAAGCCGGAUUAAUACCGCAUACGCCCUGAGGGGGAAAGUGGGGGACCGAAAGGCCUCACGUUAUACGAGCAGCCGAUGUCUGAUUAGCUAGUUGGUGAGGUAAAGGCUCACCAAGGCGUCGAUCAGUAGCGGGUCUGAGAGGAUGAUCCGCCACACUGGGACUGAGACACGGCCCAGACUCCUACGGGAGGCAGCAGUGGGGAAUUUUGGACAAUGAGCGCAAGCCUGAUCCAGCCAUGCCGCGUGUCUGAAGAAGGCCUUCGGGUUGUAAAGGACUUUUGUCCGGGAGCAAAUCCUAGUGGUUAAUAACCGCUGGGUCUGAGAGUACCGGAAGAAUAAGCACCGGCUAACUACGUG
rnacentral:rRNA from 1 species